UAUUCCUUGCCUCUAAUCCACUCUUAUUAUUGCUGUUGGAGAAUACGAAACAAUCAAUGGAGUUCAAAGGUCAGAUUUCGGAGGGCAACAUCAUAAAGAGGAUUUUUGCAAUUACUUAACUUUGCAAGGAACUUUGGGUGAAUAUUAAACACAACAGAAAUCAACACACUUUUGGAUUCAUCAAAAGAAAUCAGGUAUGGAUACAAAAGAUCAAGCAAGACACAAUAGACUACUACGAGCUUCAUUCUCAUACAAAGAAGAAAUAGAGCCACAAAUCUUAGCAUGAGCCAUAAUAUAACGACAAAUUCAAGACCAAAGCAUCUACCAAUCAGGUGGACAAAUGCACCUAUGCCCUCAAGAUUGAUUGAGGUGCAAAGAGCACACCAACCUAUAACAUUAACAGGGGAGACAAGUAAAGGAAUCAAUAGUGAGAUUGGUUCAAGUACGCCAACAAGACGACGUACAAGAACUGACAAUAGAGAAUCCACAUCUUCUUCAAGACGUCGAGUCAAUUCUCAAGUACCACCAGAUGAAACUAUGAUGUCUACUAAUGAAACACAAUCCGA